rnacentral:rRNA from 1 species
AUUGAACGCUGGCGGCAUGCCUUACACAUGCAAGUCGAACGGCAGCACGGGUGCUUGCACCUGGUGGCGAGUGGCGAACGGGUGAGUAAUACAUCGGAACGUACCUUAUCGUGGGGGGAUAACGCAGCGAAAGCUGUGCUAAUACCGCAUACGCCCUGAGGGGGAAAGCGGGGGUUCGAAAGACCUCGCGCGAUUAGAGCGGCCGAUGCCUGAUUAGCUUGUUGGUGGGGUAAAAGCCCACCAAGGGGACGAUCAGUAGCUGGUCUGAGAGGACGAUCAGCCACACUGGGACUGAGACACGGCCCAGACUCCUACGGGAGGCAGCAGUGGGGAAUUUUGGACAAUGGGGGCAACCCUGAUCCAGCAAUGCCGCGUGAGUGAAGAAGGCCUUCGGGUUGUAAAGCUCUUUUGUCAGGGAAGAAACACCGGCUCUAACACAGUCCGGGAAUGACGGUACCUGAAGAAUAAGCACCGGCUAACUACGUGCCAGCCGCCGCAGUAA